rnacentral:lncRNA from 1 species
AGAAUUUUAUUUAGGAUUUGAUUAGGAUUUGGUUUAGGAUUUAGAGUUUGAUUAGGAUUUUAUUUAGGAUUUAGGAUUUGAUUUAGGAUUUGAUUUAGGAUUUAGUUUAGGAUUUAGAAUUUGGUUAAGGUUUCAUUUAGGAUUUAGGUUUUAGUUUAGGAUUUAGAGUUUGAUUAGGAUUUGGUUAAAAGUUUGGUUAGGAUUUGAUUAAGGAUUAGGAUUUGAUUUAGGAUUAGGAUUUGAUUUAGGAUUCAAGGUUUGAUUUAGGAUUUAGAAUUUGAUUAGAGUUUACUUUAGGAUUUAGAGUUUGAUUAAGAUUUUAUAUAGUAUUUAGGAUUUGGUUUAGAGUUUGGUUUAGGAUUUAGGAUUUUAUUAAGAUUUAUUUAGGAUUUAAGAUUUAAUUAGUUUUGGCAUAAAGUUUGAAUGAAGUCCAAUAGGAUUUUAACUUGGAUUAAAUUAAGAUUGAAUUGAGAUAUAUUUGAGAUGUAUUUAUAAUUAUUCUAAUAUUUCUUUAAAAUUUCUUAUUAUUUCUUUGAAAUUUCUUUGAGGUUUCUUUAAAUUUGAUUAAAGCUUGCUUAGUAUUAUUAUGGUCUACUUAGAGUUUAGUUAGUAUUCUAUUAUAGUUAGGAUUUUGUUGUUACAAAUUCCAUUCUACCUUCCACAGCCAGGU